rnacentral:tRNA from 1 species
GAUGGUGUGGUGGAAUUAGUAUACACGCCAGGUUGCUAACCUGGUCCCUUCGGGGGUGCAGGUGCAAGUCCUGUCACCAUCU